rnacentral:misc_RNA from 1 species
UCUCCNUNGGUGAACCUGCGGAGGGAUCAUUACUGAGUGAGGGCCUUCGGGCUCGACCUCCAACCCUUUGUGAACACAACUUGUUGCUUCGGGGGCGACCCUGCCGUUUCGACGGCGAGCGCCCCCGGAGGCCUUCAAACACUGCAUCUUUGCGUCGGAGUUUAAGUAAAUUAAACAAAACUUUCAACAACGGAUNUCUUGGUUCUGGCAUCGAUGAAGNACGNA